GUUUCUAAAGAGGAGGAACGUCAUGAUACGAAAGUUGUUUAUCCUACAACGAGAAGGAAGGACACACCAGCUGCGAUGCUACACACUCUGAAACCGCGAAAAAAAAUCAUUUAUGAGGAACCGCAUCGAAGCAUCUGCAUUUCAAGAAGUAGAUGAGGAAACGGAAUCCGACACGUCAUUGCAGC